GGCCUAUUAGCUCAGUUGGUUAGAGCAUCGUGCUAAUAACGCGAAGAUCGCAGGUUCAAGACCUGUAUGGGCCA
rnacentral:tRNA from 1 species